rfam:Drosophila ficusphila unplaced genomic scaffold scf7180000454104, whole genome shotgun sequence
UAAGCGCUAGAAAGGUUUCGAUAGUUAAAAAUUACUCUGGAUACCGACUAAUUAGCGCUAGAUUAAUACCAAACUGAGAGCUAUUAAUGAACUCAGUUGAGCCAACAGGGCCGCAAAGAAUUAAGUCUGUCUUUGUACGGUAGUAAGCAGCUCGCACAAA